CUUAUACUGGAGGAUAGCUCCUGGAAACGGGUGGUAAUACUCCAUAAGCUUACGGCAAGACAUCUUGGUGUAAGAAAAGGUUUACCGGUAUAAGAGGGGCCCGCGUCUGAUUAGAUAGUUGGUGGGGUAACGGCCUACCAAGUCGACGAUCAGUAGCCGACCUGAGAGGGUGAUCGGCCACAUUGGAACUGAGACACGGUCCAGACUCCUACGGGAGGCAGCAGUGGGGAAUAUUGCACAAUGGGGGAAACCCUGAUGCAGCAACGCCGCGUGAAGGAAGAAGUAUUUCGGUAUGUAAACUUCUAUCAGCAGGGAAGAAAAAGAUGACGGUACCUGACUAAGAAGAACCGGCUAAAUACGUGCCAGCAGCCGCGGUAAUACGUAUGGUUCAAGCGUUAUCCGGAUUUACUGGGUGUAAAGGGUGAGUAGGCGGUUAUGCAAGUCAUAUGUGAAAUGUCGGGGCUCAACUCCGGCCUGCAUAAGAAACUGUAUAACUAGAGUGCAGGAGAGGCAAGCGGAAUUCCUAGUGUAGCGGUGAAAUGCGUAGAUAUUAGGAAGAACACCGGUGGCGAAGGCGGCUUGCUGGACUGUAACUGACGCUGAGUCACGAAAGCGUGGGGAGCAAACAGGAUUAGAUACCCUGGUAGUCCACGCCGUAAACGAUGAGUGCUAGGUGUUGGCGAGGAAUCGUCGGUGCCGCAGCAAAC
rnacentral:rRNA from 1 species